rnacentral:lncRNA from 1 species
GUCGUGUAAGAGUGCCACACACCAGGACUCAGCUGAUGGACCUACAGAGGAGAAGAGAUGGAAGACAAAAAUGUCUUGUUACACGAGAGAGUAAAGGAGGGUUGUAAGCAGCAAGAGAACAAAAGAAGCCAUCUGUGGUUUGUCAAAAUUUUGACAUGUGGCAUAACCUGCCACUAAUCAAAACAGAG